rnacentral:rRNA from 1 species
UUUUAAAGAGAGUUUGAUCCUGGCUCAGGACGAACGCUGGCGGCGUGCCUAAUACAUGCAAGUCGAACGAACGGAGGAAGAGCUUGCU